rnacentral:piRNA from 1 species
AGAAAAGCAAAGGCUCCCUGAAGGUCC